ACUACGAAUAAUAAAAUUAUUCUUAUCCACUUUUAACAUCCAUUUUCGUUCUCCCUCUCCGAUCCGAAACCCAUCGCCUCUAACUCUCUCAGAUCUCUCUUUCUAAGCCUCACUCAACACCUUCCGCGAAAUUCCCCUAACCUAUUGAACGUAUAUUCGUCUCCUUUUAUCUUUCCUUUUCUUCGCAGCUUUCUGCAAUUGCUUCGCUAGGGUUUCUCCGAGGCCACGGAUUUUCCACUGUAUGCGUAAGGAACAGCACGGAAUUGAUAGACAUGCGUACCCUAUACCCAACCGUCGCUGCUCCUCUUUCUCUUUCAAACUUUUCCUUUAGGACCAAUUUCCUUGUUCGAUGCAGUAAUCUUCACUCGCAACCGCAACUCGACACGCGCAAGUUAGUUCUUUCAGUGAAGGAAAAGCUUGAAAAAGAACACCAUAGCCUCCCUGUUGGAAGAAAUGGAAGGGAUGACGAAGAUAUGAUACUGUGGUUUCUCAAAGAUCGCAAGUUUUCUGUUGAAGAUGCUAUUUCCAAGUUGACUAAAGCGAUUGUAUCCUUCUCGUGAUUGUAUCAAUGUCCAAUUUUAUUCAUAACGCAUCACCACCGUUGUUUCAGGAGUGGGAAAUGGCGUCAAGAUUUUGAGGUGUCUAAAUUGACCGAUGAAACUGUUAAAGAUGCUGCUCAAACUGGAAAAGGAUAUGUACACGACUUUCUAGAUAUUAAUGAUAGACCUGUGCUUGUGGUGGUUGGAUCAAAGCAUAUUCCUAUGGUAAGAGUAGAAGUGGUAGUUGUUAGUAUUUUAUUGUUCUUUAUUGCUUUAUAUUUCUUGUUAUUGUUAUAUUCCGUGAAAUAAAACCGACUUGAGAAAAUGUUAAUACUGGCAUGCAGCGAAAAUUUGCUUUGCAGUGAAAGAUAUGAAUGUUUCAAUUUUCUGAGGAUAAUAAUUAAGAGUUUGACGUUGUGCUCUGAUUUGCGUUUGAACACCUAUUUAGUUUAGAACGCUAAUGACCAUAGAGACAGGGACUGAUGUUGCAAAUUCACUGGAAUGUGGGAAAUGAGUAAAACAAACACU